AUUGAACGCUGGCGGCAUGCCUUACACAUGCAAGUCGAACGGCAGCACGGGUGCUUGCACCUGGUGGCGAGUGGCGAACGGGUGAGUAAUACAUCGGAACAUGUCCUGUAGUGGGGGAUAGCCCGGCGAAAGCCGGAUUAAUACCGCAUACGAUCUACGGAUGAAAGCGGGGGACCUUCGGGCCUCGCGCUAUAGGGUUGGCCGAUGGCUGAUUAGCUAGUUGGUGGGGUAAAGGCCUACCAAGGCGACGAUCAGUAGCUGGUCUGAGAGGACGACCAGCCACACUGGGACUGAGCCACGGCCCAGACUCCUACGGGAGGCAGCAGUGGGGAAUUUUGGACAAUGGGCGAAAGCCUGAUCCAGCAAUGCCGCGUGUGUGAAGAAGGCCUUCGGGUUGUAAAGCACUUUUGUCCGGAAAGAAAUCCUUGGCCCUAAUACGGUCGGGGGAUGACGGUACCGGAAGAAUAAGCACCGGCUAACUACGUG
rnacentral:rRNA from 1 species